rnacentral:rRNA from 1 species
AGUCUGAACCAGCCAAGUCGCGUGAGGGAAGACUGCCCUAUGGGUUGUAAACCUCUUUUAUAAGGGAAGAAUAAGUUCUACGUGUAGAAUGAUGCCUGUACCUUAUGAAUAAGCAUCGGCUAACUCCGUGCCAGCAGCCGCGGUAAUACGGAGGAUGCGAGCGUUAUCCGGAUUUAUUGGGUUUAAAGGGUGCGUAGGCGGUUUAUUAAGUUAGUGGUUAAAUAUUUGAGCUAAACUCAAUUGUGCCAUUAAUACUGGUAAACUGGAGUACAGACGAGGUAGGCGGAAUAAGUUAAGUAGCGGUGAAAUGCAUAGAUAUAACUUAGAACUCCGAUAGCGAAGGCAGCUUACCAGACUGUAACUGACGCUGAUGCACGAGAGCGUGGGUAGCGAACAGGAUUAGAUACCCUGGUAGUCCACGCCGUAAACGAUGCUCACUGGUUCUGUGCGAUAUAUUGUACGGGAUUAAGCGAAAGUAUUAAGUGAGCCACCUGGGGAGUACGUCGGCAACGAUGAAACUCAAAGGAAUUGACGGGGGCCCGCACAAGCGGAGGAACAUGUGGUUUAAUUCGAUGAUACGCGAGGAACCUUACCUGGGUUUAAAUGGGAAAUGUCGUAUUUGGAAACAGAUAUUCUCUUCGGAGCGUUUUUCAAGGUGCUGCAUGGUUGUCGUCAGCUCGUGCCGUGAGGUGUCGGGUUAAGUCCCAUAACGAGCGCAACCCUUACCGUUAGUUGCUAGCAUGUAAUGAUGAGCACUCUAACGGGACUGCCACCGUAAGGUGAGAGGAAGGCGGGGAUGACGUCAAAUCAGCACGGCCCUUACACCCAGGGCUACACACGUGUUACAAUGGCCGGUACAGAGGGCCGCUACCAGGUGACUGGAUGCCAAUCUCAAAAGCCGGUCGUAGUUCGGAUUGGAGUCUGUAACCCGACUCCAUGAAGUUGGAUUCGCUAGUAAUCGCGCAUCAGCCAUGGCGCGGUGAAUACGUUCCCGGGCCUUGUACACACCGCCCGUCAAGCCAUGGAAGCCGGGGGUGCCUGAAGUCCGUAACCGCGAGGAUCGGCCUAGGGCAAAACUGGUAACUGGGGCUAAGUCGUAACAAGGUAGCCGUACCGGAAGGUGCGGCUG